UACGUAGGGGCCGAGCGUUGUCCGGAGUUAUUGGGCGUAAAGCGCGCGCAGGCGGCCUCGCGCGCCCGACGUGAAAGCCCCCGGCUUAACCGGGGAGGGUCGUUGGGGACGGCGGGGCUUGAGGGCGGGAGAGGGUGGUGGAAUUCCCGGUGUAGUGGUGAAAUGCGUAGAUAUCGUAAGGAAGACCAGUGGCGAAGGCGGGUCUCUGGACAGUUCCUGACGCUGAGGCACGAAGGUCAGGGGAGCAAACGGG
rnacentral:rRNA from 1 species